GUACACAGAACACGGACAGCAGAAGCUGAUGGAGAGGAUGAUGGAAGACCACAACCAGCCAGCAACUCAGGUCCAAACAGUCAUUUACAACCAGAUACCAGUGGCAGGAGUUCAGACAGUUCUGAAACUGAGACCGAUGACAGCGAGGACUGGAAAGAGACCGCAAAACUUCAGUCACGUUUUAACUGUCGAAAAAAUACCAAUAUUGUUCAUUCAGGCAACACUGAUGAAAAACAAUUUAAAGGCUCUAAAUAUGGAAAAGCAUCUGGUCACAUGAACGACUCAGCGCAGCAAAAGGGGAGGGAAGCAAGUGGAAAACCAUUUAGCUGUUCUGAUGGGAAUAAAGGACAGAAACAGAAGGGCACUCUGAACAAACACAUUAGAAUUCAGACUGGACAAAAAACAUUUGUCUGUUCUGAGUGUGGUCAAAGGUUUGGACGAAAGGGCCACCUGAGCACACACAUGAUAAUUCAUACGGGACAAAAAGCAUUUGUCUGUUCUGAGUGUGGUCAAAGAUUUGGACUUAAGAGCUACCUGAACAGACACAUGAUAAUUCAUACAGGACAAAAAGCGUUUGUCUGUUCUGAGUGUGGUCAAAGAUUUGGACAAAAGGGCCACCUGAAAACACACAUGAUAAUUCAUACAGGACA